rnacentral:lncRNA from 1 species
GUAAGUUUAGCGCUUUCAUGAUCUAAUCACUUUUCAAAGACCACCCCCGCUGAACGCUGCUGCACCGGAGGCCAAUCCUUGACCACAUGAGCUUUUGGGGAAUGUUUCACAUCCAAACCCUAAAUACACAGCACUGGAGUAAAAACUGUCCAUUACAGCAAUCACUGUUUGUAGGAAAUUCCCACACUUUGGUAAACAACAUGCUCGGGAGCUCAGGGCUGCCCAGGAAGCUAACUAACUGUGCUUUCCAUAGCACAUUUCACAUUCUCACAGCAUUUAUUGGGAUGUCAUUACAUGUCAGACCCUUUAUCAGACGGGUCUCUGCAUCUCUGCCCCGAGGAGCCGAGCAGGAGAAACAAACAUGUGGUAGAUCUGUGCUGUGUGCCGGGGUUGAGGAAGACGGUGAAACUUGACUAAGUCUGUGUGGGGUAGAAAACAGACCGGGAAGACAUUGUCCUUUCCCUGCGUCAGUCUCCACAGCAGGUUAUCUAAUCUGUUUAUUGACCAAAUGUGCUAAGAGUUGAAUUUGAAUUAGAAUGUUAUUUUCUCAUAAAAUAAAUCCUGAGAAAAUUAUAAUUCUGCAGGCUUCCUCAAAGAAACUUUAUGAAGAG